GAGGAAUAUUGGGAAAUGCCCGCAAGGGUGACCCAGCAACGCCGCGUGGAGGAUGAAUGUCGUAAGAUUGUAAACUCCUGUUAGAGGGGAAGAAUAGUACCGGUUGGACCGGUAUAUGACUGUACCCUCAGAGAAAGCCCCGGCUAACUACGUGCCAGCAGCCGCGGUAAUACGUAGGGGGCAAGCGUUGUCCGGAUUUACUGGGUGUCAAGGGCGCGCAGGCGGGAUAAAAAGUCAGUGGUGAAAUCCUACAGCUUAACUGUAGAACUGCCUUAUAGACUUUUAUUCUUGAGUGCGGGAGAGGGACGGAAUUCCAGGUGUAGUGGUGAAAUACGUAGAUAUCUGGAAGAACACCAGUUGCGAAGGCGGUCUCUUGGUCCGACACUGACGCUGAGGCGCGAAAGCGUGGGGAGCAAACA
rnacentral:rRNA from 1 species